GCAACAAAAUAUUUCAAAAUUGACAAAAUGUACCAAGGUUGCCUACCCCUGGACUAUGUCAUGUAAUACUGACCCAAUGCAAAUACUGUAGAGAAGAAAUUGAAACAGUAACAAUUUUUCCCCCUAGGCUCAAAAAUUCAGAGAGAUAAUGACUGUUGCCAUAAAAUAAGUACCUGCUACUUGGGAAAAUGACUAAUAGGUCGACAGAAAUUUUGACAUGCAGAGAUAUCAGUUUUAAUACAUUUGUGAAAGAUGGACUAUCAGAAAGUUUUAACGAAGAAAAAUGCAGUGUGGUGGAGAAAAUAAUUUAUUUGGAUUGCCAGAAAUAAAAAUAAUACUAGAUGAAGUAAAAUCUGCUUAUUGGAAACACUAACAAUGAGACUAAAGCUUAGUAUUUUGAAUACAGAAUGUAAAGGCAAGAAUAAUUGGAGAAGACCCUUAUGUUUC